GAUGAAGAACGUAGCGAAAUGCGAUAAGUAAUGUGAAUUGCAGAAUUCAGUGAAUCAUCGAAUCUUUGAACGCACAUUGCGCCCGCCAGCAUUCUGGCGGGCAUGCCUGUUCGAGCGUCAUUUCAACCCUCGAGCCCCCCCGGGGCCUCGGUGUUGGGGGACGGCACACCAGCCGCCCCCGAAAUGCAGUGGCGACCCCGCCGCAGCCUCCCCUGCGUAGUAGCACACACCUCGCACCGGAGCGCGGAGGCGGUCACGCCGUAAAACGCCCAACUUUCUUAGAGUUGACCUCGGAUCAGGUAGGAAUACCCGCUGAACUUAAGCAUAUCAAUAAGCGGAGGA
rnacentral:misc_RNA from 1 species